CCUACGGGGGGCAGCAGUAGGGAAUUUUCGGCAAUGGGGGGAACCCUGACCGAGCAACGCCGCGUGAACGAAGAAGUUAUUCGUAAUGUAAAGUUCUUUUAACAGGGAAGAAAGAGAAAUUUGACGGUACCUGAAGAAUAAGCUCCGGCUAACUACGUGCCAGCAGCCGCGGUAAUACGUAGGGGGCGAGCGUUAUCCGGAUUUAUUGGGCGAAAAGGGUGCGUAGAUGGCAUAGUAAGUCUUUUGUAAAAAUGCUGGGCUAAACCCAGUAGGGCAAAAGAUACUGCACGGCUAGAGUAUGACAGAGGCAAGUGGAACUACAGGUGUAGCGGUAAAAUGCGUAAAUAUAUGUAAGAACACCAGUGGCGAAGGCGGCUUGCUGGGUCGAUACUGACAUUGAGGCACGAAAGCGUGGGGAGCAAACAGGAUUAGAUACCCGAGUAGUC
rnacentral:rRNA from 1 species